AGAGUUUGAUCCUGGCUCAGGAUGAACGCUAGCUACAGGCUUAACACAUGCAAGUCGAGGGGCAUCAGGAAGAAAGCUUGCUUUCUUUGCUGGCGACCGGCGCACGGGUGAGUAACACGUAUCCAACCUGCCCUUUACUCGGGGAUAGCCUUUCGAAAGAAAGAUUAAUACCCGAUAGCAUAAUGAUUCCGCAUGGUUUCAUUAUUAAAGGAUUCCGGUAAAGGAUGGGGAUGCGUUCCAUUAGGUUGUUGGUGAGGUAACGGCUCACCAAGCCUUCGAUGGAUAGGGGUUCUGAGAGGAAGGUCCCCCACAUUGGAACUGAGACACGGUCCAAACUCCUACGGGAGGCAGCAGUGAGGAAUAUUGGUCAAUGGACGAGAGUCUGAACCAGCCAAGUAGCGUGAAGGAUGACUGCCCUAUGGGUUGUAAACUUCUUUUAUACGGGAAUAAAGUGAGGCACGUGUGCCUUUUUGUAUGUACCGUAUGAAUAAGGAUCGGCUAACUCCGUGCCAGCAGCCGCGGUAAUACGGAGGAUCCGAGCGUUAUCCGGAUUUAUUGGGUUUAAAGGGAGCGUAGGUGGACUGGUAAGUCAGUUGUGAAAGUUUGCGGCUCAACCGUAAAAUUGCAGUUGAUACUGUCAGUCUUGAGUACAGUAGAGGUGGGCGGAAUUCGUGGUGUAGCGGUGAAAUGCUUAGAUAUCACGAAGAACUCCGAUUGCGAAGGCAGCUUGCUGGACUGUAACUGACGCUGAUGCUCGAAAGUGUGGGUAUCAAACAGGAUUAGAUACCCUGGUAGUCCACACAGUAAACGAUGAAUACUCGCUGUUUGCGAUAUACAGUAAGCGGCCAAGCGAAAGCAUUAAGUAUUCCACCUGGGGAGUACGCCGGCAACGGUGAAACUCAAAGGAAUUGACGGGGGCCCG
rnacentral:rRNA from 1 species